rnacentral:rRNA from 1 species
UACGUAGGGUGCGAGCGUUAAUCGGAAUUACUGGGCGUAAAGCGUGCGUAGGCGGUCCGCGAAGUCUGAUGUGAAAGCCCCGGGCUCAACCUGGGAACUGCAUUGGAAACUAACGGGCUCGAGUGUGGCGAGAGGGGGGUGGGAAUUCCACGUGUAGCAGUGAAAUGCGUAGAGAUGUGGAGGAACACCGAUGGCGAAGGCAGCCCCUGGGCUAACACUGACGCUCAGGCACGAAAGCGUGGGGAGCAAACAGG